rnacentral:rRNA from 1 species
AGACGAAGGGAGUCCGGUGCGCGGGGUAAGCCUGUGUACCGUGAGGGGAACAACCCAGAGCCGGGUUAAGGUCCCAAAGUGUAGAUUAAGUGCGAUUCGAAGGUGGUCUCAAGCCCUAAACAGCCGGGAGGUGAGCUUAGAAGCAGCUACCCGCUAAGAAAAGCGUAACAGCUUACCGGCCGAGGUUUGAGGCGCCCAAAAUGAUCGGGGCUCAAAUCUACCACCGAGACCUGGCCGUGCCCUUGACAGGGGCAACCGCGUAGGUUGGCGUACUGGUCGGACGGAAGCCCGGGCGAGAGCUCGUGUGGACCGUCCAGUAACGACAAUCCUGGUCACAGUAGCAGCGAUAGUCGGGUGAGAACCUCGACGGCCUGAAGAGCAAGGGUUCCUCGGCACUGCCGUUCAGCCGAGGGUUAGCCGGUCCUAAGGUGUACCACAACUUGACUACACCGACGGGAAGCUGGUUAAUAUUCCAGCGCCAUCGUGCAGUAAACGCCGACGCCGUGUGGACCGCUGAGCCGGGCACUCGCCCGGUCGAAUCGCGGAAACUCGUGGAAACCGUCAUGGUACGAAGCGAGCGAAGCGCGAAACAGCGAAAGUCAGCCGUACAUAGGGCCCGUGAAAAGGCAAGCACGAUGUCCGUACCGAGAUCCGACACAGGUGCUCUGGCAGCGCAAGCCAAGGCCUGUCGGGAGAACCGACGUUAGGGAAUUCGGCAAGUUAGUCCCGUACCUUCGGAAGAAGGGAUGCCUGCUCUCUGAGGAGCAGGUCGCAGUGACUCGGGCGCUCCGACUGUCUAGUAACAACACAGGUGACCGCAAAUCCGCAAGGACUCGUACGGUCACUGAAUCCUGCCCAGUGCGGGUAUCUGAACACCUCGUACAAGAGGACGAAGGACCCGUCAACGGCGGGGGUAACUAUGACCCUCUUAAGGUAGCGUAGUACCUUGCCGCUUCAGUAGCGGCUUGCAUGAAUGGAUAAACGAGAGCGCCACUGUCCCAACGUUGGACCCGGUGAACUGUACGUUCCAGUGCGGAGUCUGGAGACCCCCAAGGGGAAGCGAAGACCCUAUAGAGCUUUACUGCAGGCUGUCGCUGAGACGUGGUCGCCGAUGUGCAGCAUAGGUAGGAGACAUUACACAGGUACGUGCGCUAGCACGCCACCGAGUCAACAUUGAAAUACUACCCGUCGGUGACUGCGACUCUCACUCCGGGAGGAGUACACCGGUAGCCGGGCAGUUUGACUGGGGCGGUACGCGCUCGAAAAGAUAUCGAGCGCGCCCGAAGAUCAUCUCAGCCGGGUCGGGAAUCCGGCGAAGAGCGCAAGAGCACAAGAUGGUCUGACAGUGUUCUUCCCAACGAGGAACGCUGACGCGAAAGCGUGGUCUAGCGAACCUACGAGGUUCCGGAAUGGGACCCGUAGAUGACAGAAAAGCUACCUUAGGGAUAACAGAGUCGUCACUCGCAAGAGCACAUAUCGACCGAGUGGCUUGCUACCUCGAUGUCGGUUCCCUCCAUCCUGCCCGUGCAGACGCGGGCAAGGGUGAGGUUGUUCGCCUAUUAAAGGAGGUCGUGAGCUGGGUUUAGACCGUCGUGAGACAGGUCGGCUGCUAUCUAUUGGGGGUGUGAGGUACCUGACGUGAACGAACGUAUAGUACGAGAGGAACUACGUUUGGUCGCCACUGGUGUAUCGGUUGUCCGGAAGGGCAGCUGCCGAGUAGCCACGCGACACGGGGUAAGAGCUGAACGCAUCUAAGCUCGAAACCCACAUGGAAAAGAGGUACCACAGAGGUCACUCGUAGAAGACGAGUUCGAUAGACUCGGGGUGUACGCACCGAGGCAACGAGGUGUUAAGCCCACGAGAACUAACAGACCGAGCCACAUUCAUU